UGGCUUUAUCACUCAUAUUCAGAUCCCCACCUGCCUCCAGUAUACCCAAAAUCUAUUCUAUUUCUCCUUCCACAAAAGAUCUAAGCACUCUGUCGCCACUUGAGCACUUCUUGUUACCUAGUCUCUUUGGGUCUGUUGAUUGUAACAUGAUUAUCCUUUACAGUUAAUAUCCACUUAUUACUGAGUAUGUAUAAUGUUUUUCUUUAUGGGUCUGGGUUAAUUCACUCAUGAUGAUUUCCUCUAGUUCCAUCCAAUUCCCUGUAAAUUUCAUGAUGUCAUUUAUGUAACAGCUCAGUAAUACUCCAUUGUGUAAAUAUACCACAUUUUCUUUAUCCAUUAUUUGGUUGAUGGACAUCUAGGUUAUUUUCAGUUUCUGGCUAUUUCAAAUAAAUCUACUUUUAACAUAGUUGGGCUACAGACCUUGUGGUAUGACUGAGCAUCCUUUGGGUAUAUGCCAAGUGUGGUGUAGCUGGGUCUUGAAAAAAUCAAGGUAAUGAUAUAGUCUGCUAUAUUUGUAGAUUGAUGUCUAGCCCAAUUGCCAUGAGAGAAGCCUCAUCCAGCAACUUAUGGAAACAUAUGUAGAGACCCACAGCCAAGUCAUAGGUGGGGCUUAAGGAAUCCUGCAGAAGAGCAGAGGGAGCAGGAUUGUAGGAGCCAGAGGUGUCAAGGACACCACAAGAAAACCAUGGAAUCAACUAGCCUGGGAUCAUAGAAAUUCACAGUGACUGAAUGGACAACCACGGAGCCUGCAUGGGACUGAACUAGGUGGGAUCAACAUAGUAAAAAUAGCAAUCUUACCAAAAACUACAGAUUCAAGGCAAUCCCCAUCAAAAUCCCAGCACAAUUCUUCACAGACCAGGAAACGACAAUACUCAACCUCAUAUGGAAAAACAAAAAACCGAGGAUAGCCAAAACAACAGUGUACAAUAAAGGAACUUCCUGGAGGCAUCGCCAUCCUCGACUUCAAGUUCUACUAUAGAGCUAUAGUAAUGAAAACAUCUUGGUACUGGUACAAAAACAAACAGGUGGAUCAAUGGAAUCAAAUUGAAGACCCUGAUAUUAACCCACCCAUCUAUGGAUACCUGAGUUUUGACAAAGCAGCUAAAACUAUAUACUGGAAAACAGAAAGCAUAACUGGAUUCAACAAGUAGAAGAUUGCAGAUAGAUACAUAUAUAUCACCAUAUUCUUUCAUUCUUAUUACAAAAUUUUCAUCUGUUCUAAUACAUAGUAGAUUUACUCCUUUGAAACUAUCUAACACUCUAAGCCUUGGUUCUCCCCAAUCUGUGAUUUUUCACCAGCAGCACUCUGGAAAAGGAAUCCUGAAACUAAAAUUGAACCAAAGUACUCAAUUAGUGUACUGGAAAUGGCCCAAAGGAAAGGGAUAUUAAAAUUGAUUAAAGCAUUGGCACAUGGCAAAGUAUAAAGAAGGAAGUGAAGUCAAGCUAACUCAUUAGCAGUCUACAAUUCUUAGAGAAGUAACAUGACUGAAAGUCUUCUUUUACCUUGUGUGUCUUGUUGUUCAGCCUGCUCCUGAACAAGAACUCAGAAAUGAUUUGUGCAUGUGUAAUACACAUCUUCUUUCCAUUUCAGCCACUUUUCUGGCACAUAUUAAAACAGUACAUAGUACAUGAAAUAAAUUAAGGAUAUUUAGUGUCACCAAACAGAUAUGAUAUAGAAGCUUACUCCAGCUGGCUCUGAAAAAUGGUCCCUUAACAAUUUGAAAAUAAUGGAAUAGAUAAGUUAAAAAGUAGUAUCAAAAAGUGACAGAGAUGUCUUUGGGAUGAUAGAACAAAAGUACAACAGUGUGAUUUUAAAGUGGUAAGAAGUGAUUGACAGGGAGCUUUCAUUUCACCAUAGUAGGAAAACACUGUAAGAUCUAACUUGAAAAAUUAUUUAUGGUAAUAUUGUUAAUCUUUGUGAUAUAAUUGUGCAAACAGAUUUCUAGAACUUAUUCUUCUUAUACUACUGAAACUACAUUCACUGACUAGCAGCCAAUUUCCCUGCUUCAGCAACCGUAAUUCUACUCUGGCUAUAUGUUAGACCAAUUUGUGUACAUUGUUUAAAUGUAAUCUUUCAUUGUUGUGAUUUAUGGUUUGUUUACCUUAUAUAGCUUAAUAUUUUCAAAUUCAUCCAUACUGUUGAAAAUUAAAUUUUUCUUAUUAAAAUAAAUUUUCAAAUGCUAAAUUAUAUUUUAUUGAAUGUCAUUUCUCUAUUUAUUAAUGGG
ensembl:lncRNA